AUGUUACCGGCAGCCACGCCAACUACAUUACCAUCAUCGGCUGAGCAGAUGAACUUGAGGACUACACAGUUUCGGAAGAGAGGUCGCACUCUUUCGUGUAUGCUUAUGUUAUACAUCGAUUAUCAUUACCUGCUACUUUAUCGUCCUGUUCACCUCUUAGACUCUGAGUCAGGUCCAAACAAAUGUUCAAACUUUAGUUUUAAAAUGCAUGUGGGGCACAUAUCGAGGCAGCAACGAAAAGUAUUUGUCUACUAUCAUGGUUCAUCUCAGGUCUUCUAUGUGGUUCAUGUUGGGUGGGCAACAAACAGCAGAUGA
rnacentral:rRNA from 1 species